GGAACAAGCCUAGCAGACUCCUGCCUCUGGACUUCAUACUCCCCACGACUUGGAAUUCUCUCCGCCCCCCACCCGCACCCAGCUCCCAAGAGAGACAAACUGGCCUGUUUUUGCUCAUGGAUGUAUCCCCGGCACCUGGAACAAUGACUGACAUCUCGUACAUACUCAUUAAAGGCUUUAAAUAAUUACUUCUUUAA